CUCGCCCUUCCGCCGCGGGGUCACGUGACGCCCCCUCGGCCCCACAAGAUGGCGGCGCCCAUGUUGCUGCCCGAGCCCCCCCUGGGGAAGCCGAGCCAUCAAAAGUACAGAGCUAUUCUGAAGAAAGAGAAGAGGAAAAAAAAGCGGCAGGCGCUUGCCAAACUAAGGGACUCAGAAGCUACAGAAAAAGAUGAAUCUGUGUCUGAGGAAGAAGAGGAGGAAGUGGAGAAAGAGGAGGAAGAAGAAGAAGAAAAAAAACUUGAGGCAGAAAGACAAAAACUACAUGAGCAGUGGUUGCUGAGAGAAGAAAAGGCCCAAGAAGAGUUCAAGCUAAAGAAAGAAAAAGAAGAGGCUGCAAGAAAACGGCAAGAAGAAGAAGAGAGGAAGAUCAAAGAAGAAUGGGAAGAGCAGCAAAGAAAAGAGAGAGAAGUGGCACAGCAGAAGCAACAGGAGAAGAAAGAGAGAGAGGUGAUUCCUGGUGGUGGGAGGAUAAACAUGUUACAUAUCCUGUUACAUGAUGAGAUGCAGCAGUUAUACAUGUUGAAGAAGGAUUUUGUUACAAUUAGCAAUGUGUUAGUUACUCCAUUCUGUUUGAUUUCCUAAAACUAUUAAUCACUGUUAAAGAGCAUCUAAUGGAUCCAUAUAAAGGGUAACUUGUUUUAACACAUCUGGUUGUUCAUAGUAUGUUGUUGCUUACAUCAGUUAAAUACGAAGGCAUACUGCCAGUGCAGUUCUGAUAUGUGCACUUUCUGCAUCACCUGUUAAAGAUGGUCCUUCCUUAAUGUCUCAGUUGAACACAGUCAGUGCUGAAGAAAAUGCCCAAAGAGAAUAUGGAUUAUGGAAGUACAUUGCUGCUGUUCUUUAUCAAAAGAUGUGUUACAGCUCUUCUUUACCUGACUCAUCCAACAGGACAUGUUUUGCGUGUCCUCAGGGUUUUCACUAGUCCUGUGUUUGCACCAUUUAUAGGCAGCUGUGCAGAGGAUGCUGGAUCAAGCUGAAAGCCAGCUGGAGAAUGGUGUGAGUUGGCAUAACCCAGAGCCCCCAGAGAAUCUGGGAACAGAGAAGGAUAGAGCGAAUUGCCCCUUCUAUAU